UUGAAAUCUACCUUUACAUAAAUCAUGAGGCUCAACGUUUUCUGACAUGAGACAGAUGAUGCUCUACGAUUUGGAUUAUGAUUCUCUACGAUUCAGAUCGUAGUGACUUGUUGCCUUGGUGCUUGAUCUGAUGCUAUCAUUUAGAGAGCACUACGAUUUCUCUUAAAUCCUUGCAUACUACAAUCCUUACUUGCUCGUGUUGUUGACUCUACAUUACCGAGAGCACACUACAAUAGUUGACUUGUAAAGUUCAUGUUUCCUUCAGCACACUGCGAUCGUGGAGUUUGGCUCAGCAAACGUUGGGACCACUCUACGAUUUCUGAAAAGUCCCUUCAAGGCAGGCACACACUACGAUCCGUUAAGCUCUACGUUUCUGCCUUAACUUCUGCACUGUUGAUCAGAUGAUACACUACGAUUUCUUCGAACCCUAUCUAUUACAUCUCAAGAUCAACC
rnacentral:lncRNA from 1 species